rnacentral:rRNA from 1 species
GACGAACGCUGGCGGCGUGCUUAACACAUGCAAGUCGAACGGAAAGGCCCUGCUUUUGUGGGGUGCUCGAGUGGCGAACGGGUGAGUAACACGUGAGUAACCUGCCCUUGACUUUGGGAUAACUUCAGGAAACUGGGGCUAAUACCGGAUAGGAGCUCCUGCUGCAUGGUGGGGGUUGGAAAGUUUCGGCGGCUGGGGAUGGACUCGCGGCUUAUCAGCUUGUUGGUGGGGUAGUGGCUUACCAAGGCUUUGACGGGUAGCCGGCCUGAGAGGGUGACCGGCCACAAUGGGACUGAGGUACGGCCCAGACUCCUACGGGAGGCAGCGGUGGGGAAUAUUGCACAGUGGGCGCACGCCUGAUGAAGCAGCCCCGCGGGCGGGAUGACGGCCUUCGAGUUAUGAACCGCUUUCGCCUGUGACGAAGCGUGAGCGACGGUAAUGGGUAAAGAAGCACCGGCUAACUACGUG